rnacentral:rRNA from 1 species
AUGUCCAAGUUCAAGGGCGCGCUUGCCAUGGGCGUCCCGGGGGAGCUCGCCGGCCUCCAUGCCGCGUGGUCGAGCUACGGCCGUCUGCCGUGGAAAUCGCUCUUCGUGGCGGCGAUCAAGCUCGCGCGCGAUGGUUACACCAUCGUGCCCUUCGUCGCCAACGCGCUCAAGGCAGUGGAGGCCAACGUGCUGGCCGACCCCGGCCUGCGUGCUGUGUUCGCGCCCGAGGGGCAGGUCUUGGUCGCCGGCGCACUCUGCCGCAACCCGGCGCUCGCGGACACGCUGGAGGCCGUGGCGGAGCAUGGCAUCUCCCUGCUCUACGGUGGCGCCGUCGGGGAGAGGCUCGUGGAGGACGUGAGGAGAGGUGGAGGGGUGGUGAGUUGGUAA